rnacentral:rRNA from 1 species
GGGCAAGUCUGGUGCCAGCAGCCGCGGUAAUUCCAGCUCCAAUAGCGUAUAUUAAUAUUGUUGCGGUUAAAAAGCUCGUAGUUGGAUCUCGGUUUCGGGCGAGCGGUGUACCUUGCGGUAUUUACUGUUUGCCCGGACGAUUUUGUUGGUUCGUUUAUGGUUCUCUUAACCGAGUGCCAUAAGUGGCCAACACGUUUACUUUGAAAAAAUUGGAGUGCUCAAAGCAGGCGCUACAGCCUGAACAUUAGUGCAUGGAAUAAUGGAAUAGGAUCUCGGUUCUAUUUCGUUGGCUUUCGGAGUCGAGGUAAUGAUUAAUAGGGACAGACGGGGGCAUUCGUACUGCGACGUUAGAGGUGAAAUUCUUGGAUCGUCGCAAGACGAACUACUGCGAAAGCAUUUGCCAAGAAUGU